GACGAACGCUGGCGGCGUGCUUAACACAUGCAAGUCGAACGAGAGGACAAGAGAAGCUUGCUUCUUUUGGAAUCGAGUGGCAAACGGGUGAGUAACACGUAAACAACCUGCCUUCAGGAUGGGGACAACAGACGGAAACGACUGCUAAUACCGAAUACGCUUGGAAGACCGCAUGAUUUCCAAGGAAAGGGUGGCCUCUACCUGUAAGCUAUCGCCUGAAGAGGGGUUUGCGUCUGAUUAGCUGGUUGGAGGGUAACGGCCCACCAAGUCGACGAUCGGUAGCCGGACUGAGAGGUUGAUCGGCCACAUUGGGACUGAGACACGGCCCAGACUCCUACGGGAGGCAGCAGU
rnacentral:rRNA from 1 species